CCCAGACUCCUACGGGAGGCAGCAGUGGGGGAUAUUGCACAAUGGGGGAAACCCUGAUGCAGCGGCGCCGCGUGAGUGGAGAAGUAUUUCGGUAUGUAAAGCUCUAUCAGCAGGGAAGAAAAAAGACGGUACCUGACUAAGAAGCCCCGGCUAACUACGUGCCAGCAGCCGCGGUAAUACGUAGGGGGCAAGCGUUAUCCGGAUUUACUGGGUGUAAAGGGAGCGUAGACGGCAAUACAAGUCGGAAGUGAAAUACCCGGGCUUAACCUGGGAACUGCUUUGGAAACUGUAUGGCUGGAGUGCUGGAGAGGUAAGCGGAAUUCCUAGUGUAGUGGUGAAAUGCGUAGAUAUUAGGAGGAACACCAGUGGCGAAGGCGGCUUACUGGACAGUAACUGACGUUGAGGCUCGAAAGCGUGGGGAACAAACAGGAUUAGAUACCCUUGUA
rnacentral:rRNA from 1 species